GACGAACGCUGGCGGCGUGCUUAACACAUGCAAGUCGAGCGGUAAGGCCCUUUCGGGGGUACACGAGCGGCGAACGGGUGAGCAACACGUGGGUGACCUGCCCUCAGCUCUGGGAUAAGCCUGGGAAACCGGGUCUAAUACCGGAUAUGACUCCAUGACGCAUGUUGUGGGGUGGAAAGCCUUGUGCGGCUGAGGAUGGGCCCGCGGCCUAUCAGCUUGUUGGUGGGGUGAUGGCCUACCAAGGCGACGACGGGUAGCCGGCCUGAGAGGGCGACCGGCCACACUGGGACUGAGACACGGCCCAGACUCCUACGGGAGGCAGCAGUGGGGAAUCUUGCGCAAUGGGCGAAAGCCUGACGCAGCGACGCCGCGUGAGGGAUGACGGCCUGGUGU
rnacentral:rRNA from 1 species